GGGCCCUUAGCUCAGUUGGUUAGAGCAUCGUCUUGAUAAGGCGGGGGUCGAUGGUUCGAAUCCAUCAGGGCCCACCA
rnacentral:tRNA from 1 species